ensembl:lncRNA
GGAAUACACUUUUUAAUGGGGUGACAGUGGAGAACCCACCUGACUGACGUUUUUUUCUGUUUCAGCAGAAGAAAGCAAGCUCUGGGUGCCGCUAGAUGGCAAUGGAGACAGCAGCACUGUGCAGUUGGCUUCAGCGUCGCCGGUGCUGCCCGCAUCCCUGUGCUGUAACAGCAAACACUGGCUGCUCCAGGGAACAGAUCAGUGCACUGGAUUCCAGGCAGGGAUGGAGAGCGCUGAAGCAUCAAUCAAAAGGCCGUUUCUUUCUUGAUAUUUUCCACGUGAUUUUCUCCUUCCCCCAGAUGUGAUCAUUAUUGGUGCGAGCCUUUCAGCUCACUUUACGAUGAAGACAGGCAGAAAUUGCCUGUAAAAAUCCCAAG